UGCAUGGUUUUAUAUUCAAGGGGCAAAGGAAAAUACCAUCAAAGCUUCAAAGAGUACAUAUGGUCAGUUAUUUAACCCACGUACAACAUCUAUGGUUCAUAAACUGUUUUAUUUAUAAACUGUUUUCGCAUGACUGCUGCAGGUUCAUUUUGUUAAGAACCACAACUUUCCCGUUGCAUACAGAUUGGAGUUUAUUGAUAUUAACAGACAGCAUUUCAGCCCUUCUAUUUACCAUUCAACUGGUAGACUGCCCUCCUACACUAGGGCAUUUUAUUUCACUAAAGAAAAUGCCUGGAGAUGACAGAGUAACUACAGAACCAUGGGGAAAUUAAGCAUCCAUCUUCCAUCAGCACAUUUUGGAACCAGUGACUCUGAACCUUCAUGUCAAAAAACAGCUAGCCCUGAGCAGGGGCUUGCACUUUUUUCCUGUUAGCUCAAUACAGGGAACAACAGGUGACAGAAGAAAGUAUUGUUCAACUUAAUUCUGAAGUUAGGAAACCUGCAAGAUUCGUCCUUCAAAGAAUAAGUAUUCCUUAUUUUUCAGAAUGCUACUGACUAAAAUCAGGUAUCCUUGAAAAGUAUCAUUAAAGCACACUUGUUCAAAUACCUCCAACAACCAGGCUGUGAAACAAAUCCUCUAGAGAAUGACCAGCAUCCAUGAGGACUCAGUAAGAAUCUUCCCCAAACCCUUACAAAACUUCCACAGUUAAAAAAAAAAAAAAAAAGCAUGCAAGCUAUUCACCCUCUCCCUGUUCUUCAUAUGAAAUUUCUGAGGGAGACUGGAAUGAUUCAAAUAAGUGUCACCUCCAAAGACAGCAGCUUGUGCUAAGAGCUGUGCGUAAGCCAUCUUUCUACAUAAAUACUGUACAAGUCUGUAGAAUACAUAGAAGGUGGACACUGAAAGAAAUACACCUUUCAGCAAGAAGCUUAACACUCUAUGACAGAUUCAGUCCUAUUCAACCUAUUCAGUGUAUUUUUUUUUAAUUUUUAUUUUUUAAGAUCCUACAGUCUUUUCAGUGGAUGACAGUGAGGCUGUAACAUAUGACUAGGCACUGGUGCCCUCUCCUCCUUAUGAGACAGUGAGUUGCUUUCAACCUGAUUAAUGACUCACAACCACUUAGUGCCUGUGAUCUUGCCUCUACAAAAAUGGAAGAAAUCAGAAGACUGGGAGAUAUCUAAAGGUCGGAAACUUCAACAAAGAACAUCUAGAUGCAGGAUUGCCAUGCGGCUCUGCUCCUUUCCUGCAGCCACUGGACUUUGGUGAUCACCAGCCCCUUUUAUACUUGCAAGCAUCUCACCAGGGUACGGAAGGAACUUUGAAUAAAUGCGACGUGGAGAAGAGUAAAAAUGUGAUAGAAGGGUGCAUGCAAAAAAAUGAAGAAAAAGAUGAGAAAGGAAAAUAUUUCUAAAGAAGAAUAGAAAGCAGAGGACCCUCCCUUCUCCCCAGCAAAGAUAAAAUCUAAGGAUAACAGGAAAUAAAGCAAUUAAGGUAAAUUGGUUAGAAUAUUUUUAAGGACUUAGCAUAAUUCACAGCAAACAGCCAGAGGCAUGUAGGCAUUAUUGUAACAUAAACUUAUCAGCUAAUAGUUAUGAAGCAAGAGCUAGCUUAAAUAUAAAGAAGGAGUAUGUAACUACUGGUAUGAGAAAUGCAGUAAAACAGUAAUGGGAAACAGCAAAAGGUAAACAAUAUUUUAUUAUUCCACCUCUGUUAUGUCCCUUUUUUGCAUUUAUGGAAGUAACUGGCACAGAAGAUGACCAAGCAGCAUUAUUCAGUGCUUAAGGAUGUUACAUUUUUCUGUCUGUUCCUGGCUGCAAACUUAUUAUUACUAGUGUACCUACUUUGGAAUAUCCCAUGGCCAUAUCAUCCUGGUUUUUACUAGCACAGAUCUGAGUACAGGAAUUUCAUGAACAGUUUGUAUUUAAGACUGAAGGUAUUUAAGACUGAGAUCUCAGUCUGCUGAAUCGGACUGUUUGUGAACAGUUGGAAUUAUUCCAACCUGAGCUGGGUUUAACUGAGCUCUGAAGAUCAAGGGUAUCUGUGACAAUCUUCCUAGUCCUUCAUCAGACCAGUAAUAUAUAAAGGGCCACUAUUAUUUGUUAAGUCAAAAGGUUUAAAGUCUUCCAGCAAAUGAAAGUUUUAAGAAAAAAUGUUUCAUACUAGAUCUCUGCGUGCUUUUCUAAAUGUGAUGCAAUUGCUGAUAAACUCAAAACUGUUUUCAAAAUGCACAGAGGGUGAUCGUCUGCAGGACAACUCCAAACUUGUGCCAUGAUGGUCAGCAGAGUUGUGCAAUUUCUCAUUUCUUACACGGGGUGGCACAGUAUAGCUGGAAAUCUAUCGGGUGUUCAGGCGUAACCUAGAAAACAAGCAAACAAGGGGUCAGAGACAACUACUAGGGGAUGUUGAAUAAUUCUAUUUUUAAACAUCAGACAAUUGCAAAUAUAAGCAGAUUCUUACAUGAAAGCUUUACCAAAGAGAACAGGCUUGUGAGAAUAAUGCUCUGUCACAUGAAUUUGGUCCUGUACAUGGGAAAAAUCAGCUGUUACACAGCUUCGGGUCUGGAAUAGUUCACAAUUAAUCUUUAAAUAGAAAAUAGCCAUCAAAAGCUACAAAAUACAAAAAUCUUCACAUUUUCCUGGUCCUUUCCUAUUUAUUUUUUUUUUUAGAAAAAUACUCAGUAAUAUUAAACAAACAGGUUAAAAAUGCCCCCUUUCAAGUGGUUCAAGCAACAGCUCAGAAACGUUGGAAUUCAAAAACAUACAUUUGAAAAUCCUUCUCGCAUGGAUCUGGACACAUAGACUGCAUUUGUAUAUAAUUCCUCCUGGCUGUUUUACCUGUAGAGAAAGUAUGAAAAAAAUUCUUUUUCAACUUUUUUUUUUUUUGACCUUUUUUGAUAAUAAGGGCUUUGAGCUGCAGUUCACCUGUGCUUCUGUAGUCUAUGCACAUAAUUUGGCUCCUGUCUUAGACACCUGUGAUGAUACACUGUGACAAGAGCAAUGUAUUAUAUAGUAGUAACUUUCAGAUAUGUGGACGGGAACUAGGUAGUGUGUA